rnacentral:misc_RNA from 1 species
GAUGAAGAACGCAGCGAAAUGCGAUAAGUAGUGUGAAUUGCAGAAUUCAGUGAAUCAUCGAAUCUUUGAACGCACAUUGCGCCUUCUGGUAUUCCGGAAGGCAUGCCUGUUCGAGAGUCAUUAACAACCGUUUCGAUCCCUUUCUUUCAGAAAUUACAAAGAGGAAAAGGGUUUGGUUAUGGUGGAGGAGGGAAAGGGAGCGUUUAGCCUGUAAAAAAAGAGGCUGUGUUCCGCCUCCCCCCCAAAAUUGUACAGGCGGUCGUGUGCGCCCACGCAUCGAGGUGUUGUAAAAGCUGCCACGGCACUUUUCACCUGUGCAGUGCGAGAUUGGCCAGCCGGUUUAAAAACCCCUCCAAACAAUCAAAGGUUGACCUCGGAUCAGGUAGGGAUACCCGCUGAACUUAAGCAUAUCAAUAAGCGGAGGA